rnacentral:rRNA from 1 species
AUUGAACGCUGGCGGCAUGCCUUACACAUGCAAGUCGAACGGCAGCACGGACUUCGGUCUGGUGGCGAGUGGCGAACGGGUGAGUAAUGUAUCGGAACGUACCUUUCAGUGGGGGAUAACGUAGCGAAAGUUACGCUAAUACCGCAUAUUCUGUGAGCAGGAAAGCAGGGGAUCGCAAGACCUUGCGCUGAUUGAGCGGCCGAUAUCAGAUUAGCUAGUUGGUGAGGUAAAGGCUCACCAAGGCGACGAUCUGUAGCGGGUCUGAGAGGAUGAUCCGCCACACUGGAACUGAGACACGGUCCAGACUCCUACGGGAGGCAGCAGUGGGGAAUUUUGGACAAUGGGGGCAACCCUGAUCCAGCCAUGCCGCGUGAGUGAAGAAGGCCUUCGGGUUGUAAAGCUCUUUCGGCCGGGAAGAAAUCGCAUGGGUUAAUACCCUGUGUGGAUGACGGUACCGGAAUAAGAAGCACCGGCUAACUACGUGCCAGCCGCCGCAGUAACAC